rnacentral:tRNA from 1 species
GCACCAGUAGCUCAGCUGGAUAGAGCACCGCCCUUCUAAGGCGGGUGUCAGGGGUUCGAAUCCCUUCUGGUGUACCA